rnacentral:rRNA from 1 species
GACGAACGCUGGCGGCGUGCUUAACACAUGCAAGUCGAACGGAAAGGCCCUGCUUUUGUGGGGUGCUCGAGUGGCGAACGGGUGAGUAACACGUGAGUAACCUGCCCUUGACUUUGGGAUAACUUCAGGAAACUGGGGCUAAUACCGGAUAGGAGCUCCUGCUGCAUGGUGGGGGUUGGAAAGUUUCGGCGGUUGGGGAUGGACUCGCGGCUUAUCAGCUUGUUGGUGGGGUAGUGGCUUACCAAGGCUUUGACGGGUAGCCGGCCUGAGAGGGUGACCGGCCACAUUGGGACUGAGAUGCGGCCCAGACUCCUACGGGAGGCAGCAGUGAGGAAUAUUGCACAAUGGGCGGAAGCGUGAUGGAGGAACGCCGCGUGCGGGAUGACGGCCUUCGGGUUGUAAACCGCUUUCGCCUGUGACGAAGCGUGAGUGACGGUAAUGGGUAAAGAAGCACCGCCUAACUAGGU